GUAGGUCCCGAGCGUUAUCCGGAUUUAUUGGGCGUAAAGCGAGCGCAGGCGGUUAGAUAAGUCUGAAGUUAAAGGCUGUGGCUUAACCAUAGUACGCUUUGGAAACUGUUUAACUUGAGUGCAAGAGGGGAGAGUGGAAUUCCAUGUGUAGCGGUGAAAUGCGUAGAUAUAUGGAGGAACACCGGUGGCGAAAGCGGCUCUCUGGCUUGUAACUGACGCUGAGGCUCGAAAGCGUGGGGAGCAAACAGGGAUUAGAUACCCUGGUAGUCCACGCCGUAAACGAUGAGUGCUAGGUGUUAGACCCCUUUCCGGGGGUUUAGUGCCGUAGCUAACGCAUUAAGCACUCCGCCUGGGGGAGUACGACCGCAAGGUUG
rnacentral:rRNA from 1 species